UCCGCUGGGCGCGGGAGUUUUCCCGCCGCUGCCCGCGGCGACCCGGCCGCUUCUGCUCCCCAACGCGCGGGGGGCUGAGGAGCUGGCGCCAGUUGCUGUUUCCUCCCCGAUCCACUCGGCUCUGGACGCUUUCCCAUCCCAGCCGCUCCACUGCAAUAGUGCGCAGAUUUUAUGGAUAAACCACAUUGAGAAAUGUACCUCCAUUUAUGGAUAAACCACAUUGAGAAAUGUACCUCCAGAAGCCAGAAAAGAGCUCCUAAAAUCCUUGGAAUUUCCUAGUUGAUGAGAGUGAUAAAGG